rnacentral:tmRNA from 1 species
UCUUGGAAUAUUAAUAAUUACGCCUUAUAUUAAAGAAGUUGGGCAACCAACUAUGGCGAUAAACAGUCGUGUGGAAUAGACGUUGCGGACCCGGGGGCGGUACCCGGCGCCUCCACCAAAAAAAGUCAAAACCUUAAAUUUAAGAGAACGACUUUUUCUGAGGGGGGCGAAAUUAGGAUCGACGUGCGUAGUAAAGGCAUAUCUUUCGCUCAGCGUGACACCGCUGCAAAACAGGUCAAAAUUCACAAAUGCAAACGAUAAUGAAGCAUUUGCCGUAGCCGCUUAAGGCUACACGGGGUUCGGAGGGCACCUGGCAACAGAAGCCCUUCA